AUCACGUGGUCACGCCAUCUCCCAGCUGAGGCUGCCGAAGGGCGAUUGUGAAUGGGACGGGCCGGGUGGUGUCCCGGAGGAAACAGCUGACUCCGUACCGAGAGCAGUAUCAUCAAGAGACAUUGAUGCAGGAGUGAUAAAGGAAGAUGGAAGACUGAACGACUAUACGUUAUUAGUUUACAAUCAUGAAGAAAACUGCAAUGGAGUAAUCUCAGUGUCUGUUAGUACCAAGUGUUGAGAGAGCCUUGCCCCGUGGUUUAGUGAAAAGUAGUGCAGCAUUCUGUAGGGAUGGAGGAGUGUGUGCACAAAGAUAAAGCUGAAGCUGAUUUGACAGAGUCCAUUUGUAGCCAGGGAAACAAAGAAGAGGACUUUGUUGACAUAAGUGAGAAUUGUGGUGCUGUAGCACAAUAUUCAGAAGAUGAAUUGUUGCCUAAAGAAUCAAAAGAUCAUCUUUUACCCACCAGUAGGUUGGUGACAGCAAUAAAGAAAGGCAAAGCUGAAAGUAACCUGAAG